UCCCUCUCACAGUUACUACUAUUGAGCAAGAUACCACAUAUACUGUACCUGUGCAUUUUGUUUUUCUGAAGUUUUUCUGUGCAUUUUGUUUUUCUGAAGCUUGAAGCAUCUCUCGAAGAGAUCACGUAGGUAUCUUUCCUAGCAUCUGCUGUGUAAGAUUCUUUUUAAUUGGAGACAUCAAGUACGAACAUGGGAAUUGCAGGUUUUAUUGGAAGACAGGAAAAAAAAUCCAGACAAGACUAGAAAAUACCUGCAUUUCUCCUCAUCUUCAGUAAUGUAUUCAGGCUGCAGAAGUCACCUUUUCCUGGGCAGAAGUUCUCAAAUAAAUCAUAACAUCCUGUCUACCUGAAUUUGGUGUGUGAUUGACAGAACCACGAUUUAUCCCUGCAGUGAUAUUCCCAAGGACAAUGGCAAGGAGGAAACCUUUUCAUUAAUGGAAGGGAAACGGAAGACAGCUCUGUUGGGGGAGCUUUAAUCUCAUUAGCCAUCUUGAUUUAAUUAAAUCUGGGAGGUGCUAGUCGAAACCCUAAGCGAGGGAACGGUGAAGGUUUGAGACCAGGAUCGUUUUCUCCAGGACCAUCCAUCGUCUGUAACAGAAAGUGGAAAGCCUGUUUAACUGUUUUGAUACUGCUUUAUUUCUUAUUUGAUUGAUUUGUAUCCUGUUUUAUUAUUUUUUACAAAUAACUCAAAGUGGUGAAGAACAUACCUUCCUCGUCCUGUUUUCCUCAAAACACCAAGCCUACAAGUUUGCCUUCAUCACAAUGAAAAAGAAAGAAAAAGAAAACGAAAGAAAGAAAGAAAGAAAGAAAGAAAGAAAGAAGGAAAGAAAGAGAAAGAAAGGAAGAAGGAAAUGUGAUAUUUGUUUGAGGGAGGAGGGAAAAAAUGGAACUGUUAUCCACCAUUGCUAAAAACAAGGCCAACCCAAGAAUCGGAGUAGCUGGAGAAAGUCAGAUCCUCUUACCUGCUUUGUCCUUUCUCGCAGACUCUUGUCUUCAUAGUGGGGGUGAUUGGUUAAAAUUCUUCCAGUGCAAAGCUUAACCCCGGCUAAGAGCUGCAUACUUCCUGCAAUCACUGCUUUCUUGGGAGUGUUGGACCUGAAGGAACAUUGAGAUUCACUUCAGAAGGGCAGAGUGAUAGGAUUCUUCUCUUUGCUACUUUUACCAGCUUACGGUCCAGGAGCAGAUAAUGGUGUAAUAUUGCAUUUUUGGUUCCCUACUGCCUUCACCAGUACAACCUACAAAGGCUGCAGUCAUGAAGGAGACCAGAAGUUAGCAGAAUCCAGAUGGUUACUGCAUUACUAUUAAUCUUCUCAUUGUUCCUAUCACCCAUUUCCUCCCACUUAUGACUGUAUGACUGUAACUUUGUUGCUGGUAUCCUUAAGAUUUAUAUUGACUGUUUUCCUAUGACUAUCAUUAAGUGUUGUACCUUAUGAUUCUUGACGAAUGUUAUCUUUUCUUUUAUGUACUCUGAGAGUGUACGCACCAAUUUCUUGUGUGCCCAAUCACACUUGGCCAAUAAAGAAUUCUAUUCUA